UGAAAUGUAAUGAUCUAAAGUUUCAAGGACCUGAUAUGCAAAUUUACCAUUUUGAGCAAAGAAAGUGAAAUGGUGACGCCUGAACGUGUGGCGGCACUAAACUUGAAAAGUGGCUAACUGUCUUAUUAGCCCUCCUUAUUUAUUAUUUUCUUUUUAUUCCCCUUCAACUCACUUUUUUAUUUAAUAAACAAGCCCUCAACCCAUUUUUGUA
rnacentral:lncRNA from 1 species